CAGCCACAUCAUGUUGAAACACCAGUUCCUGUAUGAUCACCAAAGUUAAGCAAUGUCUAGCCUGGUCAGUACCUAGAUGGAUGACUACUUAGGAAUACCAGCUGGUGUAAG